rnacentral:rRNA from 1 species
CCUUGCUUAGCCACACCCCCAAGGGAAGUCAGCAGUGACAGACAUUAAGCCAUGAGCGAAAGCUUGACUUAGUUAGGGUUGACAAGGGCCGGUAAAACUCGUGCCAGCAACCGCGGUUACACGAGAGGCCCAAAUUGACACAGUACGGCGUAAAGUGUGAUUAAAGAUAUUCUUACACUGGAGCCAAACACCCCUUAUGCUGUCAUACGCCAUGGGGGUUACGAAGCCCAACAACGAAAGUGGCUCUACAAAUCUUGAACUCACUACAGCUAGGACACAAACUGGGAUUAGAUACCCCAUUAUGCCCAGCCUUAAACCAAGGCGAUUAAAAUACAAACUUCGCCCGCCAGGGAACUACAAGCCCCAGCUUAAAACCCAAAGGACUUGGCGGUGCCUCAAACCCACCUAAAGGAGCCUGUCCUAUAACCGAUAAUCCCCGUUAAACCUCACCCCUUCUUGUUAACCCCGCUUAUAUACCGCCGUCGCCAGUUUACCUUUUGAAAGAACAACAGUAAGCAUAACGGGUAACACCCAAUACGUCAGGUCGAGGUGUAGCGAAUGAAGGGGGAAGAGAUGGGCUACAUUUUCUGACAACACAAUACUACCAAGGAUGCAAUGAAAGAUGCACGUCCGAAGGUGGAUUUAGCAGUAAAAAGAAAAAAGAGAGCUCUUUUGAAACCGGCCCUGAGGCGCGUACACACCGCCCGUCA